rnacentral:rRNA from 1 species
CAGCUAGUUGGCGGGGUAAAGGCCCACCAAGGCGACGAUCGGUAGCUGGUCUGAGAGGAUGAUCAGCCACACUGGAACUGAGACACGGUCCAGACUCCUACGGGAGGCAGCAGUGGGGAAUAUUGGACAAUGGGGGCAACCCUGAUCCAGCCAUGCCGCGUGUGUGAAGAAGGCCUUCGGGUUGUAAAGCACUUUUGUUGGGGAAGAAAAGCACUGGGUUAAUACCUUGGUGUCAUGACGGUACCCAAAGAAUAAGCACCGGCUAACUUCGUGCCAGCAGCCGCGGUAAUACGAAGGGUGCAAGCGUUACUCGGAAUUACUGGGCGUAAAGCGUGCGUAGGCGGUUUGUUAAGUCUGUCGUGAAAGCCCCGGGCUCAACCUGGGAAUGGCGAUGGAAACUGGCGAGCUAGAGUACGGUAGAGGAGAGUGGAAUUCCCGGUGUAGCAGUGAAAUGCGUAGAGAUCGGGAGGAACAUCAGUUGCGAAGGCGGCUCUCUGGACCAGU